UGAUUCUGAGCAGCAGCCAAUACAGAUAACGCAGGAAGAGACAGAAGUCGAGGAGCAGGAACCGAUCAAUUUGACGCAACUGACACAAGAAACCUCAGCAUAUAGCGCUGGAAUAAAGAACACGCAGGACAGCCUCGGAACUGAGGUCACCGGCCGCAGGCGCGACAAG
rnacentral:ribozyme from 1 species